rnacentral:rRNA from 1 species
UCGAGCGGUAAGGCCCUUCGGGGUACACGAGCGGCGAACGGGUGAGUAACACGUGGGUGAUCUGCCUCGCACUCUGGGAUAAGCCUGGGAAACUGGGUCUAAUACCGGAUAUGACCUUACAUGCAUGGUGUUUGGUGGAAAGAUUUAUCGGUGCGAGAUGGGCCCGCGGCCUAUCAGCUUGUUGGUGGGGUAAUGGCCUACCAAGGCGACGACGGGUAGCCGGCCUGAGAGGGCGACCGGCCACACUGGGACUGAGACACGGCCCAGACUCCUACGGGAGGCAGCAGUGGGGAAUAUUGCACAAUGGGCGAAAGCCUGAUGCAGCGACGCCGCGUGAGGGAUGACGGCCUUCGGGUUGUAAACCUCUUUCGACAGGGACGAAGCGCAAGUGACGGUACCUGUAGAAGAAGCACCGGCCAACUACGUGCCAGCAGCCGCGGUAAUACGUAGGGUGCGAGCGUUGUCCGGAAUUACUGGGCGUAAAGAGCUUGUAGGCGGCUUGUCGCGUCGAUCGUGAAAACUUGGGGCUCAACCCCAAGCUUGCGGUCGAUACGGGCAGGCUUGAGUACUUCAGGGGAGACUGGAAUUCCUGGUGUAGCGGUGAAAUGCGCAGAUAUCAGGAGGAACACCGGUGGCGAAGGCGGGUCUCUGGGAAGUAACUGACGCUGAGAAGCGAAAGCGUGGGUAGCGAACAGGAUUAGAUACCCUGGUAGUCCACGCCGUAAACGGUGGGUACUAGGUGUGGGUUUCCUUCCACGGGAUCCGUGCCGUAGCUAACGCAUUAAGUACCCCGCCUGGGGAGUACGGCCGCAAGGCUAAAACUCAAAGGAAUUGACGGGGGCCCGCACAAGCGGCGGAGCAUGUGGAUUAAUUCGAUGCAACGCGAAGAACCUUACCUGGGUUUGACAUACACCGGAAACCUGCAGAGAUGUAGGCCCCCUUGUGGUCGGUGUACAGGUGGUGCAUGGCUGUCGUCAGCUCGUGUCGUGAGAUGUUGGGUUAAGUCCCGCAACGAGCGCAACCCUUAUCUUAUGUUGCCAGCGCGUAAUGGCGGGGACUCGUGAGAGACUGCCGGGGUCAACUCGGAGGAAGGUGGGGACGACGUCAAGUCAUCAUGCCCCUUAUGUCCAGGGCUUCACACAUGCUACAAUGGCCGGUACAGAGGGCUGCGAUACCGUGAGGUGGAGCGAAUCCCUUAAAGCCGGUCUCAGUUCGGAUCGGGGUCUGCAACUCGACCCCGUGAAGUUGGAGUCGCUAGUAAUCGCAGAUCAGCAACGCUGCGGUGAAUACGUUCCCGGGCCUUGUACACACCGCCCGUCACGUCAUGAAAGUCGGUAACACCCGAAGCCGGUGGCCUAACCCCUCGUGGGAGGGACCGUCGAAGGUGGGAUCGGCGAUUGGGACG